AUGCAUCCCUUAAGAGUUUUGAUAGUGGUGCUCUGGCUUCAAGUGAGGGGUGUGAGCAGUCAGCAGAAGGUGCAGCAGAACUCAGAAUCCUUCAGUGUCCCUGAGGGUGCCAUGGCCUCUCUCACCAGCACUUUCAGCGAUCAUAAUACUGAUUACUUCUGGUGGUACAGACAGUAUCCUGGGAAAAGCCCCAAGGCUCUGAUGACCAUCAUCUCCAAUGGUGAAAAGGAAGAAGGAAGAUUCACAAUUCACCUCAAUAAAGUGAGCCUGCAUGUUUCCCUGUACAUCAGAGACUCCCAGCCCAGUGACUCAGCUGUCUACCUGUGUGCA